UACGAAGGUCCCGAGCGUUAUUCGGAAUCACUGGGCGUAAAGGGAGCGUAGGCGGCGUGGAAAGUCAGAUGUGAAAUCCCGGGGCUCAACCUCGGAACUGCAUCCGAUACUACCAUGCUAGAGUAUUGGAGGGGUAACUGGAAUUCUCGGUGUAGCAGUGAAAUGCGUAGAUAUCGAGAGGAACACUCGUGGCGAAAGCGAGUUACUGGACAAUGACUGACGCUGAGGCUCGAAGGCUAGGGGAGCAAAAGGG
rnacentral:rRNA from 1 species